AUGACAGGUUCAGAAUUCAUCACGGAGCUCAAACUCAAACUCAAGAUGCAGAACGAUGAAGGGCAAAUCACGGAGCUCUACAUUCCUAGGAAGUGUUCCGCUACAAACAGAUUGAUUACUGCUAAGGAUCAUGCUUCUGUUCAGAUUAACGGAGAUGCUGACGGUGGAAUUGACCGACUGUGGCAGAAAAAGAAAACCGAACUUAAGCAAUAG